CAGAGAGUGAGACCCUGUUUCUAAAUAAAUAAAUAAAUGAGUGCAUGAGUGAACAUACAUACAUACAUAUACACACACGGUUUUUUACAUGUUUAUAGAGAGUAUAAAGGGCCAAUGACCUUUUAAGGCACAAUUAGCAAAUAUGUAUUGAGUGGAAAGAUGCAUGUUCUUGCAUGCAGGAUUCUACCUCCUGAAAUGCAUCUGAUAACACUGCUUGAAAAUGUGUGUAGAAAUGCCCACACUAGCAUGUUUGUGGUGGGCAUAUAAAUAAUAGCAAAACAAAACAAAGGAAAAAGAAAAGUACAUAUAUGUGAGGAACCCUUUUGGUUAUCCUGGGUUUUUGAGAUAAUGUUCAUAGAAGGAAAGCAAGUCAAAUGAAGAGCAAUUGAGCAGGAAACGGGGGGAAAUACCCUCAGAGUAAUAAGAUUAUCUCAUUACACUUAAGUUUUGCUGAUGCUUCAAGUUUCCUGAGUAAGUUAUGCGAAGCAUCUUUCUCUGAAAAUCUUCUUGCUGCAGAACAAACCAUGUUUAGUGUCUGUAUAUGUCUCAACUUCCUGUCCCCACCUGGCGGAUGGGAAAAAGGACACGGUCCUUGCUUGUGUUUUGGAGUGAAAGAAGCAUUAAAGGUCUUGCAGACUUUA
rnacentral:lncRNA from 10 species